UGCCCUUAUGACCUGGGCUACACACGUGCUACAAUGGUUGGUACAACGAGUUGCGAGUCGGUGACGGCGAGCUAAUCUCUUAAAGCCAAUCUCAGUUCGGAUUGUAGGCUGCAACUCGCCUACAUGAAGUCGGAAUCGCUAGUAAUCGCGGAUCAGCACGCCGCGGUGAAUACGUUCCCGGGCCUU
rnacentral:rRNA from 1 species